CCUAGAGCCGCUUGCUGUGCCGGCCAGGGGGACGGCAGCGUUCCUGCUCACCUGAUUUAUUAUCUCUGCUCAGCACACAGGGAAGGGGAUUCUUCACGGGGAGGAAAGCUGGCAGCUCAGAGCAGUCCCCUGGAAGCAGCCAGCGCUUGGUGUGAGCGUUCAUUCAAAGGAGCAGGGAGAGAAAGGAAAAAGCUGUAGUAGGGAAAGAGGAAGGUUAAAAAAAGCAGACACCUCCGAGGCGCUUGUGAAGCGGGAACGCAGCAAGGCAGUCGGUAUUUCUGGUCUGAGGCUGGGACAGAGACCCACGGAGCUGAUGCGAGGGGAGUUUUGCAUAUUCCGAAAAGUAAACAGAAGAGUCAGCCUUGUUUUUUUGCAGAAUUACAGGAACCAGAGAUGGAAAAGACCUAUUAACUCAUCUUUCCGUUCCCCUCCAGGGUAGAACAGGAUUGCUCCCUGGAGGAGAUUAUUUUUAGCACUCUGUUGAGCACAGUUUUUGAUGUCUCAUGAGAUGGGGGUUUCUUUUCCAGGGAUUUAGAUGUAAGAAUGAUAAACCAGGUUCCGCCAAAGGAAGGCUUGACCCAGAGAUGAAACGAGGAUCAAAGCUUUGCUGUGAGGUUCAAAAAUGUUUGCCUGCAUGUUUUCCUCUCUCUGUAACGUGUUUCUGCAUCUCUCUACAGCAUGCUUUGCCUGGGAAGGAAGCAGAGGCAGCGAAGCCCCGGCUCUCCAGGGAUUUUUGCUCCUACAGAAAUGGAGAAACGCGACGAUUUCUCUGGCAGAAGCUUCACACGGGCAUCCUGGGGACGCUCGGUUGGGCCAUUGCGUUGGUGGGGAGAAAAAGAGGAAUGGCACAUCUGCUAGGUGACCGACACGUGUCCCCGGUGCCCUGUAGGCUCAGUAGGAGUCUGGCGGAGUCGGAAGAAAGCCCUUGGAACAGGAGGCUGUCACCGAACAGACGUCUCCUGGUUUUCACAAGAACAUCCCACUUUUGCUGCAGCGUCUACUUCCGAUAAAUGUUUUGAUUUAGCCUCAGCUUUCGUGUAGCAACAGGAAAACAUCAUCCCGGGGUGAUGUUCUAUUCCAUUUGAAAUUAUCUCUUGGAUGAGGCACAGGAAAGAGUGGAUUCGAGCUGUAAACAAAAUCCCAUUUGUCUCCUUAAAUGCGUUUGUUUGCCUGCCUUGGGGAAGGGGAGGAUGAGGCGCAUGGGGGCAGUGGGGCUGAGGGGCGUCCUGCAGCCCCUUGGAGGCUCACGAGGCCACGGCGAGGUGAUGUGGGUGAGCCUCUGCCUGCCAGGGUGCAGCCUUUGCAUCAAAGGUGCCCAAGAGACAGCGUGGGACAGUGCCAGCCUGCAU
rnacentral:lncRNA from 1 species